UCUGAAGAUUGAAAAUGUGAUGUUUUGUGUUAGAAAGGACUGAGAUGGAUGAAACAGGAGUAUAGAUUCAGUUGGCUGACAAUGUAACGACAUGAGCAUAAACAGAGCGUAGAAAGAGGAGAAGCCACGUUGACGUGUAGCACCUGUACAAAAAAAAUUACGAGUUUUGGCUUCAUUAAUUAUGACAUCUACUUGUCCCAUUCGAUUGGUAGCUAAGUUCAAACAGUUUGAUGGCUGCACUAAUUAGGCUGAUAGAUGUAGAGAUAGCUAAUAAAAAUUCCCCUAGCAGUGAAAAACAAACUUAAAACAAUGUCGGCGCUGAUAGUGUGUACUACUGUGUUGUGAAGACUGAAAGUGUGAUUUUUUGUGUUAGAAAGGACUGAGAUGGAUGAAACGGGAGUAUAGAUUCAGUUGGCUGACAAUGUGAUGGCAUGAAUAUAAACAGAGCGUAGAAAGAGGAGAAGCCACGAUGACUUGUAGUACCUGUACAAAAAAAAUUCGAGUUUUGGCUUCAUUAAUUGUGACAUCUACGUGUCCCAUUCGAUUGGUAGCUAAGUUCAAACAAUUUGAUGGCUGCACUAAUUAGGCUGAUAGAUAAAGAGAUGGCUGAUAGAAAGGAUUGGAGGUCGCAUGUGAUGCUGAAAAAAAUUCCCCUAGCAGUGAAAAACAAACUUAAUUCAGUCCUGGUGCAUCAUUUUCUGACAAGUGGUGUGCUCUGCAUUUGUCAGAUAGCAGUAAAUGAGCUGAAACCGACACUUUCUUUUUCUUAUCUGAUAUGCAUGUCUGUGUCUGUGCGCAGCCUAAGAAUUAUUCUUUUGUUGUAUUGCACCAUCGAUGGAGGAUUGGCACGUUGUCUCUCAAUGGCUUUAUCCAGCACCUAUUUUCCUUAUUAUGCUGUUUUUAGCUUGUUAUAUUGUUCUGUCACUUUAUGUCACUAUGCCUUUGGAGUUCCAGUUAUUCAUCAAGAAUGAUGCUGCUAACCACAAGUUUGAUCAGAUACUCAUGUUCCGAGAAAAAUAAUUAGCAUGUUAUCCUGCUGAAUCUCAUUACCUUAAAUGUUAAAUAUAUAAUAUUAUCUUGUUUUAUUGAUUCUAAUUCGUUGGGUUUAUCCUCCCAUUAAUUUAUUUUUUUGUACACAAUUCAGGACAAAUGGAGGAACAUGAGUAUUAGUGCUAGUGGCCAUGGCUCUCGGGAAAAGAUAAGGACACCAAAAAUAAAAGGUCUUCCUGCUAUUCCAUCAACAAACUCCCAGAAGCUUACUGUCUCUGCCCCACAAAAAGAUGCUGGAGUACUCACAAUGGUGAAUUCUACAAAGAACUCACAAGAUGGGAAGAAUCCUCCUCGGUACACUGCAAUGAUAAUUGAAGCUCUCGUGGCAAUGCAAAAGCAAAAUGGUUCAGAAAUUGGUGCAAUUUGUACCUUUAUAGAGAAAAAGCAUGAAGUACCACAGAAUUUUAGGAGGCUGCUUAGUUCAAAGUUAAGACGGCUCGUUGCACAGAAUAAAAUAGAAAAGGUGAAUACAAUUUUCCAACCUGACAGCGAAGGUUCAGAAGGGGUACAGGCUCAAAGAUUCCUCCUCCGCAGCAAAAACUCCUACUCUGAAACGAAAGGAUCCAGCCAACCGCUCAAAGCUGCCUCAGAAUUUUGGGUCAUGCAACUCCCCAAACCUUAUCGUGGAUGCAGCGAUAACUGUUGCUUACAAAAUUGCAGAUGCAGAGGCCAAAUCAUUUCUUGCGUCUGAAGCUGUUAAGGAAGCUGAGAAGAUAUCAAAGAUGGCUGAAGAGACAGAUUCACUGCUCCUGUUAGCAAAAGAGAUCUUUGAGAGAUGUGCAGGUGGUGAAAUCAUGACCAUGGCUUAAAAGCUGCAUGACAGAAUUCACGAUCUUCCCCUUGAUGGAUUAAACUUUUGUACAUGAAACUUGCGUUGCUUUUUCAGUUGUGGUUGCCAGCAUGGAAUUAACUUGUUGUGGUAAGAGAGACUUAACAGGAACAUGGUGGGAUCACCCUGUCAGGAAUGUAUGAUAAAGCUUCUUUGUAUAAAUAUGCCCCUUUUGUCAGGUGACCAC